UGUAUGUAAUGUAUUUGAAUUCAGAGUAAAAAAGCCGUUGCAUGAAGUUUCAUCCUCCUGAAUACUCUCGUUUUCUCCUGCAAAUUUACAGUAUGGGCAUCCUUUUUUAACAUCUUUCGUCAAAGAAGUGGAUUCAAAGCACACUGUGACCUCAGUAUAUUGAUGUGAAACCAUGCAGAAAAUGCUACUUUCUCUCAACCUUGUGGAUGUUCCCUACUUCCCUAAGGAUCAGCAGCCUCUUGAAACAGUUGAACUUGAAGCCAUUAUCGAAUUCCUUGCGUCUAUGUUCCCUGGAUCUGAAAACAAAGCAUAAUGCCAGAGAUUCCACCCAAAAGCUAACCCAUGAGUCCAAGCUGAAGAGGAAUAUUUCCAAAUCGAUGGCUCCACUAAUCCGAUUGAAUUCCUUGCGUCUAUGUUCCCUGGAUCUGAAAGCAGUGCAUAAUGCCAGAGAUUCCACCCAAAAGCUAACCCAUGAGUCCAAGCUGAAGAGGAAUAUUUCCAAAAUUACAUGUAGAUCUACACUCACCCGAUAGUUAAACUGCUAGAAAAAAGGUUUUUUUUUCACUUCAUUAUAAUUUAUAGAGAGAGAUUGGGGGAGGGGGAGAGGUAGGGUGUAGCCACAAACCUGAAUGGCUAAGCUGUGGAACUGAAAUUCCCAUUCAUGUCACUUACAAUUUUAAUGAAUUACAGGGUGUACGAACUGACAUAAUAACAGUUUGAGUAAAA